rnacentral:lncRNA from 1 species
AUAGUUAAAAGAACAAAGAGUUUUGAAAGCAAAAAAUUAAGAUAACUUUGAGAAACAUGCUUAGAAAUUUCAAACACACAUAAAUCCGGAGCAGGUCUGAAAACAAACCGAAGGAACCAUAGAGAUUAGGGUUUCGUAAGAAACCCAGGUGAAGAGAAAUGCUUUGAAAACCCUCAAUCUAAGCAGGAUAGUUGAAGGUCGAACUCGAAUAGUCAUGGCUGACAGAGAUUGAAGAUGACCGGAGAACAGUCAUCGAGCAAAGGCUUACUUGAUACACUUCAAGAUUUGGUCAUAAAACCUCAGAGAUGAGCACGUAGAAGCCGUGAAAGGCCGGUAUAGGCCUCCGAUGAGCCUGGGAAGCCAUGGAUUGGAGUUUUAAUGAGAGACGGCAGCUAGGGUUUGUGGUGAGUUGACAGAGGAGGGAGAUUCAG